GAUGAACGCUGGCGGCGUGCCUAAUACAUGCAAGUCGAGCGAACAGACGAGGAGCUUGCUCCUCUGACGUUAGCGGCGGACGGGUGAGUAACACGUGGAUAACCUACCUAUAAGACUGGGAUAACUUCGGGAAACCGGAGCUAAUACCGGAUAAUAUAUUGAACCGCAUGGUUCAAUAGUGAAAGACGGUUUUGCUGUCACUUAUAGAUGGAUCCGCGCCGCAUUAGCUAGUUGGUAAGGUAACGGCUUACCAAGGCAACGAUGCGUAGCCGACCUGAGAGGCUGAUCGGCCCCACUGGAACUGAGACACGGUCCAGACUCCUAAGGGCGGCAGCAGUAGGGAAUCUUCCGCAAUGGGCGAAAGCCUGACGGAGCAACGCCGCGUGAGUGAUGAAGGUCUUCGGAUCGUAAAACUCUGUUAUUAGGGAAGAACAAAUGUGUAAGUAACUAUGCACGUCUUGACGGUACCUAAUCAGAAAGCCACGGCUAACUACGUG
rnacentral:rRNA from 1 species